UUCUUUUUAUAAGUAUAACGCUUUUUGGUUUUAUUUUGUUUUUGUUUAAGUUUCUCCUUUUAUUCCGAAUCACCCAGGUGAAGACGCGAGAGCGGCUGCGAUUGCGUGAGUGAGGAACACAUCUAUCUCUGCUGUGUUCUUCCCAAAGGGUGAGCUUGGUUUACCUCUUCGCCUCUACCUGGUGUUCUCUUCUCCUCACGGGCUGGGGGCCCAGCGUGCCCCUGCAUCAUGUUUUGCUCAGUAAAACCAAGUAGCGAUUGGACUAGAUGCGUAUACGCCUGACAACGUCUCGCUUGUCAUGGGGCUGGUCGGCCCGUUGGGUGCCUUCCUGUCCGGAGGGUCUAAUCGGCUGCAGUGAGACCCGUCUUCGGUUGGGUCAGGUUGUGGGGAGGAGCUUUUCGGUCCUCUGCUCCUUACCUGAGAUGAAUCUCAGUUUUCCCCACAAGAAUUACUGCCAAGCCAAAGUGUGUUUACUGAACAAAACAUGGAGACCAGUUCAGACGAGGGCUUCAGCCCCGACGUUCUGAAACCAGUGUUGUUUACACCACAGAACCAAGUAACACGCUGACGUUAAAGAGGAGACAAAACAUGAUGCCUCUCAGGAACGUGUAGGGCUGCGAGGCUGUGACUUGGGCGGGUGGCAGGGCUUUUCUUCACAUGGUCUCCUCCGUUCUCGAGAAAGUAGGUGGGUAAUGUAUGCAAACGGGUAGCUCUCCCAACUGGUCCUUUUAGGCCUGGUGUGUGUCCAGGAUUUUACAUCCAACUGAGUGCAAAGUUGGACUAGCCGUUUGCAUAAUUGAAUGAAAUCUGGCUUCUCUUUCUGUUGAGCAUUUUGUCCAUUUGAGGAGAAAAAUUGUACGUGUCCCACAGUCGUGUAGAGCUGGACUCUGAAUAUGGUCCAAUGUCCAGUUGCAGCCAUAUUAGUGUCCGCUAGAGGGUGGAUGUGCUACUGCACAGAUUCCCCCCCUUCCCAGUUAAUUUGAGAUUCUCUAGUAUCCUAACUGGUUGCGUGUUCUUUAAGUUUAGCUUGUUUUAAACUUCCGCUUUAAGAAGACUGAACUCUGUUUGGACCUGGAUUACAGUACUUUACAGCAUUAAAUGAACACUUUAAAGCUCAACAAAUCUGCCACAGCUCAUUAAGCCUUCUGUGAGUCCAUUAGAUCCACUUGGAGACCUUUUGUGUCUCCAGCUUGCCUUUGUAGAUAAAUACUUGCUGAAAUGUCUUUGACAGGGAGGUGUGUGAGGAAGAUUGUUUUCCCAGAUUAGUGUGUGUCAGGGUAGAUUCAUGGAGGGAAGUGCACUCGUCGUCUGCAAGUUCUCCCUUCAAAGGAAAAACCACGUUUCUACCGUAUCCUUUGGCUCAGCUUUGAGACAGGUGUAGCUGUGUUUGUCUCUGCCUCUUAAAGCUAACGGAAUAAUGACGCUCAUAACAUGUUUGUGUUUGAAGUUGUCAGAUCGCUCGCACCUCGGAGAGAAAAACACACCGGAUUUUGUAGAACUGAUGUUCUAUGACACUUCGCUAAGAAACACGUGGACCUCAUUCCCAGUGUUUUAGCCUGGAAUCUGAAAGCCACUGCCCACAUAUUCACAUCAAGUUUAAGGUUUAAUGUUGUAAUUUAUGUAGGGGUAAGUAUGUUUGCAUCACAUUGCCUUGACUUAAUUUGGUUUCUUCAAUGGUAUUAAUCUCAGUUAUAUCAAUUACAACGUAAAAGAGAUGCUCCUUACACACUCUUCCAAACCUCCACCAGUUACAUGGGGAAGCUCUUUUUGCAGGAUCAAAGUGGAAACAUAGAACCUACAAAUACAUAUUGCUCUUUGGGCCCUUUUGCUGGGCACCAUGUGGUUUUACCCAUGGAGACCCAAGCUGGCUCUUGGCAUGUUUGUGUGUCCUUUCCACUGACCCUGGAACAGUUGAAACUUCUUUAUGUUGAGCCCUAACCCUCUUUGUCAUGUUUGGUUUUCUUUCAGCCAGUGUUUUAGGUACAUCUGCGAAGUUCCAGGGCUGCUUCCUUUUACACGUGUACCGUAACCUAUGUUUGGCUUGCUUUGUUGCUGAAAUUGUGUGAAUUUACCUCAAUGAUGAAGUUUGCUCAGUUCAGUAGUUUCACGUGGAAUGUGAUAUGAAUGUGUGAUGCAAUAUCUGCGUAUCUCUAAUAUUGCUCUUCUGAUCGCUACAAACGAGCAAAGGCCAAAAAAAGCACUGAUAUUGUAGUGAGCUCUGACCUGAUCUCCCCUUGAAACUUUAAUGGAGGAUCCUGAAGAAUUUCACUAAAUGUCAUAUUUGGGGCUGCAAACUUGACAGACUGCAGGUCAAUAAUUGUUAAUAUAAUGGCAAAAACAGAUUGUACAGAACAGUUUCUGAAUUCCUCGGACACAAACGUAGACUGUAAUGUGGCAGUUUAAAUCUUUCCUGUCACAGCCCCUCAGCUUUAUUUCUUGACACCGACAAUAAAUUGAUAUUCAACUGGAAUCCAAAAGCAAUCCAUUGUCAAGUUAUCCAUUUUUGAACAUUUCCUGCGUAAACAUUUGAAAGCUGAGCCGUCGCAGGCUAAGUGGAGCCAGCUUCUUGUCACGUUUGGGAUCCAAAACGGCUUUUCCAAAUCAUUCAGGAGAAACAGGAAAAAAGAAUCUGAAUAAUUUCAGAUGACCUCCAAGAAGGAUGUAAGUAUUGACAUUUUUGUAUUUUAAUCCCUUGCUUUUGUCACCUGACUUAUCUAUCAGGAAAGAGCGCGUGCAGAGGCCCCGACCCAGCCUUGUCACCAUGUGGACUUGCUAGGUGGGGCUUCGGACGAGCGGAUUCACAGGACUUCUGGGGUCAUACAAAAUCCAGAGAUGCGCUUGUGUAGGAGUGCGAAUACGUUUCAGUUGGAUCUGCACCUCAAGUCAGGGAUAUUGGCUGGAACUGGAGUGCGCUCUACCCUGCAGUGUAAGUGCUCUGUUGGCUUCCUUGGACCCUGUUAUGUGUGAAAUGGCCCCACUUUGGCUCCCUCCUGCCAACAGGCCCGUGCUGUGACUGCGUUCGUCAUGCUUGGUCUCUUUAAUCGGCGCUCGUUCACGAAAAGCUGCCAAAAGGCGAAGAGGAAAACAGCGGCGCUCACCAGGCAUCUCGUCGAGAGAGAAGGACAGAAAGAGGUAGAACCAAACUGCUGCGGGACCAAGAAAACGUUUUUUCCUGAGCUUAGAGAUGUCUCCCAUUCAUGUUGAGGCUUAGCAGUGCAGCGCCCCCUGUGUCUAUUCACAGGGAGAGCCUCAGCUGCACUUUGUUAGUGGGAUUACGGAGGGUGUUCCUUGCGCAGCCUGUUGAUGGGGCGCUGCCUCGCAGGAAGUGGCAUCGGUUUCAAAGCAGGUGCCCGUCCUACUGGAAGUUUUAUCGAGUACAGUUUUACCGUUUAUGCUGGUGUACAGCUGUAUGAGGAGCUGGUUAGAUGGAGCCCUCUAGCUUCAUGGUUAGUGCUGCCCUGCAUGGUCUCUGUUACGUUGGACACUCGAGUCGUGUUUUCUUCAGCGGGGUUUGCGGAACAUAGUCCUGUUUGUUACUCUACUAACUCUUUUCUGGAGGGCACUGUCAUUUCAGUCCCACACAAGUAGUCUGCUUGUUUGCUCUCGCAAAAAAAAGAAAAAAAAAUUACCCACCGUAUUAAAUGGACUGGAAGCCCAUUAAGUCGAACCGGUCCCCACCCCUCAAGGUCACGUCAUUGAGGCUUCUAUGCAGGACUUUUUUAAUUACUUGUGCCUUGGAAGUUAUUCUGAUUACAGUUUCUUUGGUUUUUGUUUAAGACAAAUGUAUAAUUAAAAUAUGAUGAAUUGAACAUGGGAAUGUAGGUCAGUUCAGCUGAGGGCACAUUCUUUGAAAUGGCUCCAUCCGAUUGUGGCCGGCUCUAGAGAUUUAUCUCAGUUGAUGUCAGGGGAUAGUUCUCCCAGUUUGUGUAAGGUAUGUUCUUUAUUAUUUGGUCUGAUUUAAUUAGUUGCCAGCAAAACAGUGUUUUCCCUUGUUGCUGCUCUUGUCUGUAGCCUGAUUACAGAAACGUCCUCUGUUCUACCAGGACAGAUUAAUCCCACAGGCCGGGGACUCCAGCUACAGCACUUUUCUCCUGGGACGGAUUGAACAUCUUCAUGGGGUGGGGUGUGUGGCCUCCGUUACAUAAUUUGGUCUUGAGAAGUAUACUGGAUUGAUGUAUCGCAGCAGUUGGAGUGGUGCCCAGGUUACCCAUCCUGCCUUGGAGAGCGAGUGUCUUUCAGUCUUUCAGCUCCCUCCUGUUUGGAGCAGCACAGAAUAAUGCGGUAAGGGUUCCAGUUACAUUGCAGGCCAGGCCUGCCAUUCUACCCUCAAGGUGGUACUUAAGAUGUAUUGCCUUAUGAAACAACAGCCAGCAGUGCAAUUGUAUUAAAAAAAAAAAAAAAAAAAAGUGUGCUCUACUCGGCAGACAUAAAGCGGACAAUAAAAGUGCAUUCUUCUGUGGGCCGGUUUUCCACAGCCGUUGUCAUGCUCCAGCUUUCAGACUUUCACUCUGAAAGAAGGUGAUUCACAUGCGCAGUGCUUUUCCUGCUCACUUUAGGGCUCACAUGUUGAUUUAUCCCACAGGCUGUUUUGUGUUGUACUUUUCAAUUCAGUGUCUGUUUUUUGGGGGGAAAAACCCUGUAUGUACCUCAACAAACAAUAAAAACAUGUAACAUCCCAAACUUUGUGUUGGAUCGUGGUCAGUUGGUGAUCAUGUUUACAGCGCCGCAGUGCAGCCUCCAGUAAGAAACUAUUUCCUGCUGAGGGAUUUCGGGAACGAAUUUCCCAACAUUUUUACCGUGGUACAUAUCCCAGAAAUUUGCCCCGUUAUUCAUGUGCUUCUUUUGAGCACUAGGGGGCAGUGUAAUACAGCGCUUGACCGGCACCUUCCUCUUGUGUUUUUUCCUGCUCCUCCUCGAACCCAAC